UGCAAGUCGAACGAAGUAGCAAUACUUAGUGGCAGACGGGUGAGUAACAUGUGGGUAUCUUCCCUAUGGUGAGGAAUAACACGAGGAAACUUGUGCUAAUACCUCAUAAGUCUUUACGGAGAAAGCUUUAUGCGCCAUAGGAUGAGCCUGCACUUGAUUAGUUAGUUGGUAGGGUAAUGGCCUACCAAGACUGUGAUCAAUAGCUGAUUUGAGAGGAUGAUCAGCCACAUUGGGACUGAGACACGGCCCAAACUCCUACGGGAGGCAGCAGUAAGGAAUCUUGCACAAUGGAGGAAACUCUGAUGCAGCGAUGCCGCGUGAGUGAAGAAGGCCCUUGGGUUGUAAAGCUCUUUCGUCGGGGAAGAAAAUGACUGUACCCGAAUAAGAAGGUCCGGCUAACUUCGUGCCAGCAGCCGCGGUAAUACGAAGGGACCUAGCGUAGUUCGGAAUUACUGGGCUUAAAGAGUUCGUAGGUGGUUAAAAAAGUUGGUGGUGAAAUCCCAGAGCUUAACUCUGGAACUGCCAUCAAAACUUUUUAGCUAGAGUAUGAUAGAGGAAAGCAGAAUUUCUAGUGCAGAGGUGAAAUU
rnacentral:rRNA from 1 species